AAGUCGUAACAAGGUUUCCGUAGGUGAACCUGCGGAAGGAUCAUUACUAAAUGCGAAGCUUCGGCUUAGCUUUAAUAAUCCCUCAACACCUGUGCACCGUAUUGUCUUCGGACAAUUACAAUUACAAACAUCAGUGUAAAGAAUGUAUUAUUACUUUAACAAAAUACAACUUUCAACAACGGAUCUCUUGGCUCUC
rnacentral:misc_RNA from 1 species